rnacentral:ribozyme from 14 species
AUUCUUUUUCUUUUUCUUUUUCUUCUCUUUCAAGUUCUAUAAUCUAUUGGAAGUAAAACAGAAAAAGAACAAAUGUUC